rnacentral:rRNA from 1 species
UACGAGAGGCCCAAACGUUAUUCGGAUUUACUGGGCUUAAAGAGUUCGUAGGCGGUCCGUCAAGUGGGGUGUGAAAGCCCUCGGCUCAACCGAGGAAUUGCGCUCCAAACUGUCGGGCUCGAGGGAGAUAGAGGUGAGCGGAACUGAUGGUGGAGCGGUGAAAUGCGUUGAUAUCAUCAGGAACACCAGAGGCGAAGGCGGCUCACUGGGUCUCUUCUGACGCUGAGGAACGAAAGCUAGGGGAGCAAACAGG